GUUACCAUGCAGUCGAGCGCACUCUUCGGAGUGAGCGGCGGACGGGUUAGUAACGCGUGGGAACGUGCCCUUCUCUAAGGAAUAGCCACUGGAAACGGUGAGUAAUACCUUAUACGCCCUUCGGGGGAAAGAUUUAUCGGAGAAGGAUCGGCCCGCGUUAGAUUAGAUAGUUGGUGGGGUAAUGGCCUACCAAGUCUACGAUCUAUAGCUGGUUUUAGAGGAUGAUCAGCAACACUGGGACUGAGACACGGCCCAGACUCCUACGGGAGGCAGCAGUGGGGAAUCUUGGACAAUGGGCGCAAGCCUGAUCCAGCCAUGCCGCGUGAGUGAUGAAGGCCUUAGGGUCGUAAAGCUCUUUCGCCAGAGAUGAUAAUGACAGUAUCUGGUAAAGAAACCCCGGCUAACUCCGUGCCAGCAGCCGCGGUAAUACGGAGGGGGUUAGCGUUGUUCGGAAUUACUGGGCGUAAAGCGCACGUAGGCGGAUCAGAAAGUAUAGGGUGAAAUCCCAGGGCUCAACCCUGGAACUGCCUUGUAAACUCCUGGUCUUGAGUUCGAGAGAGGUGAGUGGAAUUCCGAGUGUAGAGGUGAAAUUCGUAGAUAUUCGGAGGAACACCAGUGGCGAAGGCGGCUCACUGGCUCGAUACUGACGCUGAGGUGCGAAAGUGUGGGGAGCAAACAGGAUUAGAUACCCUGGUAGUCCACACC
rnacentral:rRNA from 1 species